GGAGGGAUGGGGCGAUGCUCUGGGGGGAGUUGCUGCAGUCCUUCCCUGUCUUCAAGGUCCCCCUUCCUGCCCCAGAGGGUUCUCCAGCCCCCCAGCAGGUCCCAAUCCUGCAUCGCACCGAGUUUGGGGCUGGCAAGCAAAGGCUGAGGGUCCCAGCACCGAUCAGGCUCUACCCUCUUCCUGCCUCUGGCCCACGCAUAGGGCUCUGCUGUUCCCAGGAAGGGGCCCAGGGAUUCCAUCCUCCAUCACAGCACCUCGAAGGCUGAGCGGAAGGGUGGUGACUGAGCCUCCCCACAGCCACAUCAGUGCCUGAACUUCCCCCUCACUUUCUAGGAACCCCAGAAAGCACAUGACCAGGAGUGAUGAGGAUAGCCUAUGUCCCCUGCCCUCCCCAGCCUGGCUCUGCUCUACUCCUAGGAUGGAGACUUGCAGACAUGCCCUGCCCGGGGCUGCUGCCCCUCUUCCCUAUCCCCCCCAUCUGCUGCCCCUCAUCUCCAUCCACCCCUGUUCCUGCCCCACGUUUGCCUCCCUUUCAGUGCUGGAGCCAAUUUGUGUGGUGAAAGCUGUCCCUGCUCCUAGCUGGGGAUGGCAGCUCCAACCUAUCCUCUAUCCUAUGCUGUCAGAAUGGGGACAAUUCACUCUGGGCUACAGGGCUCCCCUUCACUUGUGUGAGAGUGUAGGUUAGGAUGGGGGAUGCUCCCACCUGGAGUGCACCCUGACCCUUGCCCAGUGCUGGCGGGGGUCAUCGCCAGACCAUUCCCUGGGUGCACACCCCCGAGCUGGGCACUGCCACAGGCUCUGCCAUCCCUUCCCUGCUCUCCUGGACGUGCCCCCCCUAAAAUCCUGCCCUAUGGAUCCCAGUGUUGGAGGGCACCCGGUGGGAGCCGGGACCGGAGGAGCUCCAGCAUCGCUCCGGGCGGCUCCGCGCUGCCCCUCGGCCCAGGGCACAGCGUGGUGCUCACGGUGUCCCCGCUCCAAGCAGGGCUCGCACCGAGGCCGGCAGGGCUGGAGCCGAUCGCGGGUACCGAUCCUCAGCUCCGCCCUGCACCGUUUUCUCCUCUUCUAAGAACUGUGAUGCUGCUGCGGUUUGCCUUCACCUUGGGGCAGCCCCGCGGGGUCGCGGCUCGGUAUAUAUACGGCAGCUCCCGACCCUCAGAGCCAGCAGGAGCAGCGCACGCAGAGGUAGGCGGAGGGGUCUCUGGGGGGCGACGGGGAGCCGGAAAAGCGCUGCCCCACUCGGGCACUCCCUGCCCGGGGCCGUGCCGGGAAGGGCUGGGAGCUGCGCCCACCGCCCACCGAGCGGUGCUUUCCCAGCCGCUGCCCCCGGCUCCUCUCGCUCUGCCCAACCCCGCUGCGCCCCGGCACGGCUGCGCCCCGGCACCGCUCCUCCCGGGAUCCAACGCCGCGUUCCCUCACGCUGCCCCUCUCCCCACAGAUGCCGGUCCCGGUGCUCCUGGCGCUGUGCAUCGCCCUUACGGACGCCUUGACUGCAUUCCCCCCAAAGUUUCUGGUGGGGAACCUGAACAAGGACGUGGUGGUGAAAUGCAACACCUCGAAGCUGCAGGUGACCUGGACACAGAACGGGGAGCCGGAGCCAAUGGCUGA
ensembl:lncRNA